GCGAACGGGUGAGUAACACGUGGGCAAUCUGCCCUUCACUCUGGGACAAGCCCUGGAAACGGGGUCUAAUACCGGAUAGCACUGCCCGAGGCAUCUCGGGUGGUUGAAAGCUCCGGCGGUGAAGGAUGAGCCCGCGGCCUAUCAGCUUGUUGGUGAGGUAACGGCUCACCAAGGCGACGACGGGUAGCCGGCCUGAGAGGGCGACCGGCCACACUGGGACUGAGACACGGCCCAGACUCCUACGGGAGGCAGCAGUGGGGAAUAUUGCACAAUGGGCGCAAGCCUGAUGCAGCGACGCCGCGUGAGGGAUGACGGCCUUCGGGUUGUAAACCUCUUUCAGCAGGGAAGAAGCGCAAGUGACGGUACCUGCAGAAGAAGCGCCGGCUAACUACGUGCCAGCAGCCGCGGUAAUACGUAGGGCGCAAGCGUUGUCCGGAAUUAUUGGGCGUAAAGAGCUCGUAGGCGGCUUGUCACGUCGGGUGUGAAAGACCGGGGCUUAACCCCGGUUCUGCAUUCGAUACGGGCUGGCUAGAGUGUGGUAGGGGAGAUCGGAAUUCCUGGUGUAGCGGUGAAAUGCGCAGAUAUCAGGAGGAACACCGGUGGCGAAGGCGGAUCUCUGGGCCAUUACUGACGCUGAGGAGCGAAAGCGUGGGGAGCGAACAGGAUUAGAUACCCUGGUAGUCCA
rnacentral:rRNA from 1 species